rnacentral:rRNA from 1 species
CACGUAGUUAGCCGGAGCUUUCUAAUAAAGUACCGUCACUCCUAAGUCAUUUCCUACUUAGGUCGUUCUUCCUUUACAACAGAAGUUUACAAUCCAUAGGACCUUCUUCCUUCACGCGGCAUCGCUCGUUCAGGGUUUCCCCCAUUGACGAAUAUUCCUAACUGCUGUCUCCCGUAGGAGUCUGGGCCGUGUCUCAGUCCCAGUGUGGCCGAUCACCCUCUCAGGUCGGCUACGCAUCGUUGACUUGGUAGGCCUUUACCCCACCAACUAUCUAAUACGCCGCAGGCCCAUCUUAAAGUGAAGCUUGAUUGCUCCUUUUAAAUAUGAAAAAACGUAUCUUUCAUAUUCUCAUCCGGUAUUAGCAGUCGUUUCAACUGUUAUCCCAGUCUCUAGGCAGGUUACCCACGUGUUACUCUACCCUUCGCGCCACUAGAUGGAUAUUCCUCUUCCGCUUCCGUGCAAGCACUUCCACUUCAGUCGGCCAUCCUCGUUCGACUUGCUAGUGUCUUAGGCUAGUCGCCGUCCGACGG